AAAGAAUCUAAAAUCUUUGGAGCUUACCGUGAAUGCCCCCCUCUUACUCUCCGCAUUUCCUUCCUUUCUCUUCACAAUUUCUCACCCACACCAUAAAACCCUCACUCUUUUCUCCGACGAUGAAGGAUCGGCCUCCGUCCUCGUACGGCGCCGUCUACGUCCCUCCCCACCACCGUCUCAUCUCCUCUCCCAACAACCAAGAUGCUACCAAGAACUCCUCCGCCCCCGCGAUUCACUCCAAGCUUCGCGACCACCAAAACACACCCAUUUUGAACGCUAAGGGCACUGCUUCUCCUCCUUCUUUGCCACACUUGCAACAGCAACAGCAGCAGCGACAGCAACAGCAAGGGACUUAUAAUAACAAUAACGGUAGUAAAAACAGUAAUAAUCAAAAUGCACAGUAUAAUUCGGCUUACUGUCUGGGGAUUUCCGAGAAUGUCUCUGAUCGCCAGCUGGAUUUGUCUUUGCAAUCGGGUACCUUUGAUGAAGCUAACAUUGAAGAGUGGAAGCGAAAGCUAGCCAUGCUUCUACAUGAUGAUGGGAAACAGGAGUUCGUAUCAAGGGAGAAGAAGGACAGGCGAGACUUUGAGCAAAUAGCAGCUUUGGCAAGCAGAAUGGGUUUGUAUAGCCAUCUUUAUUCCAAAGUUGCUGUCUUCAGUAAGUUGCCCCUGCCUAACUACAGAUUUGACCUGGAUGAUAAGCGUCCACAGAGGGAGGUGAGCUUAAAUUUUGGUUUGUUGAAGAGAGUCAAUGCCUAUCUUGGAGAGUACCUUUCUAAAAAGUCUAGGAAUAAGGAAAGCUUUUCGGAUAAUUGUUUUUCAAGAUCAAGCAGUAAUAGCAGUAUAGUUACUGAAGAAGGACUUUUCGAGCAGCCAGAGCCAUUAGCAUCUGGCACAGCUGUUAUGGAGAAAAUUCUUCUGCGGAGAAGUUCGCUGCUGCGUGAUCAGCAACAAGCGUGGCAGGAGUCUCUUGAAGGAAGAGAAAUGCUAGAAUUCCGUCAAAGUCUUCCUGCUUAUAAAGAGAAAGAUACCAUAUUGACUGCCAUUUUACAGAAUCAGGUUGUUAUUAUCUCAGGUGAAACAGGAUGUGGCAAGACCACACAAAUUCCCCAAUUUAUUUUAGAAUCUGAGAUAGAUUCUGCGCGCGGAGCUUUUUGUAGCAUUAUAUGUACGCAACCCAGGCGAAUAUCUGCUAUAUCUGUUUCAGAAAGAGUUGCUUCAGAAAGAGGAGAGAAAUUGGGUGAAUCUGUUGGAUAUAAAGUACGGCUUGAGGGUAUUAAAGGGAGGGAUACCCGUCUUCUCUUUUGCACAACAGGCAUUUUGUUGAGAAGGCUACUAGUUGAUAGAAAUUUAAAAGGUGUAACUCAUGUCAUUGUGGAUGAGAUUCAUGAACGAGGGAUGAAUGAAGAUUUCCUACUCAUUGUCCUUAAAGAUCUCCUUCCUCGCCGCCCAGAAUUAAAGCUGAUUUUGAUGAGUGCAACUUUGGAUGCUGAGCUUUUCUCCUCGUAUUUUGAUGGGGCACCUUUAAUCCACAUUCCAGGUUUUACGUACCCAGUUCGAACACAUUUUUUGGAGAAUAUUUUGGAAAUGACAGGUUAUAGGUUGACUCCAUCUAAUCAAAUUGAUGAUUAUGGACAAGAAAGAAUGUGGAAAAUGAGUAAGCAAGCCCCGAGAAAGAGGAAGAGCCAAAUUGUCUCUUCUGUUGAGGAUGCGCUCCGGGCAGCUGAUUUUAAGGAUUUCAGCCCUCAGAUUCAGGAGUCUUUGUCAUGUUGGAAUCCUGAUUGUAUUGGUUUUAAUCUCAUAGAAUAUCUUUUAUCCUAUAUCUGUGAGAAUGAGAGGCCCGGUGCAGUUCUAGUCUUUAUGACUGGGUGGGAUGACAUAAGUUCUCUGAAGGAUAAGCUGCAAGCUCAUCCAGUCCUUGGAGAUCCUAGUCGAGUUUUGCUACUUACUUGCCAUGGUUCUAUGGCGAGUUCUGAGCAGAAGUUAAUUUUUGAAGAGCCUGAAGAUGGAGUGAGGAAAAUAGUAUUAACUACUAAUAUUGCUGAGACAAGCAUAACAAUUAAUGAUGUUGUUUUUGUUCUUGAUUGUGGAAAGGCCAAGGAGACAUCGUACGACGCAUUGAAUAACACUCCUUGUUUGCUACCAUCAUGGGUUUCCAAGGUUUCUACUCAACAAAGAAGAGGAAGAGCUGGCCGAGUGCAGCCUGGAGAGUGUUAUCAUCUCUAUCCUCGAUGUGUAUAUGAUGCCUUCACUGAAUAUCAAUUACCUGAAAUUUUGAGAACACCUUUGCAGUCUCUUUGUCUGCAAAUCAAAAGUUUGAAACUCGGAAGUAUAUCUGAAUUCCUAUCAAGGGCAUUGCAGUCACCAAAGUUACUGGCGGUUCAAAAUGCCAUUGAAUAUUUAAAAGUCAUCGGGGCCUUGGAUGAGAAUGAAAAUCUGACUGUGCUGGGGCGUUAUUUGACUAUGCUUCCAGUGGAGCCAAAACUUGGGAAGAUACUCAUCCUUGGUGCUAUUCUUAAUUGCCUGGAUCCUGUGUUGACUAUUGUUGCUGGUCUUAGUGUUAGAGAUCCUUUUUUGACACCAUUAGACAAGAAAGAUCUUGCAGAGGCUGCAAAGUUGCAAUUUUCCCAUGAUCAUAGUGACCACCUUGCACUUGUCCGGGCUUACGAGGGCUGGAAAGAAGCCGAGAAAGACCUUGCUGGAUAUGAUUAUUGCUGGAAAAAUUUUCUUUCUGCACAAUCAAUGAAGGCAAUUGAUUCUCUUAGGGAGGAGUUUCUUUCAUUGCUCAAGGAUACCGGUCUUAUUGACGGCUAUGCAACUAGCUGUAAUGGCUGGAGCUAUGAUCAGCAUCUCAUCCGAGCAAUUAUUUGUUAUGGGCUUUAUCCUGGAAUUUGCUCUGUCGUGCAUAACGAGAAAUCAUUUUCACUGAAAACUAUGGAGGAUGGACCUGUACUUCUUUACUCGAACUCUGUUAAUGCUCGGGAAUCUAGAAUUCCGUAUCCUUGGCUGGUUUUCAAUGAGAAGAUAAAAGUGAACUCUGUUUUCCUGCGGGAUUCAACAGCUGUCUCUGAUUCAGUGCUUCUCCUGUUUGGUGGUAGCAUCUCAAGAGGAGAUGUUGAUGGACACUUGAAGAUGUUGGGAGGGUAUUUAGAAUUUUUCAUGCAACCUGCUAUAGCUGAAAAAUAUCUAAGUUUAAGGAGAGAAUUUGAUGAGCUGAUUCAAAAUAAAUUACUGAAUCCCCAAAUAGUCCUACAUCUUCAUCAUGAGCUCAUUUCUGCAAUACGGUUGCUGGUUUCUGAGGAUCAGUGUGAUGGAAGAUUUGUAUUUGGCCGUCCAGAUCUUAAACCAUCAAAUAUGCCUGUUGUUCCACCACAACGUUCUUUGAUUUCAAGGACAGAGAGUGGUCCCGGGGGUGAUAAUUCUAAAAGUCAGCUCCAAACACUGGUCACCAGGGCAGGAUAUGCUGCACCAAUCUACAAGACAAGUCAAUUGGAAAACAAUCAGUUCCAAGCUACUGUUGAGUUCAAUGGUAUGCAAAUCAUAGGGCAGCCUUGCAACAACAAGAAGAGUGCAGAAAAGGAUGCUGCAGCUGAGGCUUUGCAGUGGCUGAUGAGUGGUACCCGGACAGGCCAUGAGUAUAUCAAUUAUAUGUCGAUGUUUCUGAAGAAAAGCAAGAGGGAUAACUGAUCUACAAUGGCUCGAUCUCCCAUUGAGGGUUUUGUGUGGAACAGUGAUCCCAGCAGAUGUGUUCAAACCUUAUUUGUUCUUUUGGCAUGGUUAUAUUGCCCCUUUUUUCUGUGGAAAACAAAGUAAUUGCAUUGCGGCAUGGAAAGCCAAGACUUUAACCACAAAUUUGAAAUUUCCGGCUGCCAUCAUACUGAUGCAUUUACUAACAAAAGCAGGCCCAUGGUGGAGCUUUAAUCUUUGAUUGCGACCUGUAGCCAGUUACUGACCAAGGCUGAGUGGAUUAGGAUUGACCUAUAUUGCAUGCUUCAUGGUGCUGAUCUUAGAUUGGAGCAAUCAAUUCCAUUAGUUUAUUUGUGGGGCAACACUAAAUUCAAAUACUACUCGGGGUCAGAAAAUGUACAUAAACAAGUAGGAAAGUUGGCUGAUUGUUCUACGAUUGGUGCCUCUUCAGAUUGUUCGCCCUGGGGCGGUCAUUUACCCUCUCUCAGGUUUGAACAUUGUCCCAUUGAGCAACAAAACCUGGAUAAAGUUUUUAUAUAUGCACGUAAAUAUUAUAUAAUAUAUGUUUUGAACUUAGAUGAAUCUAAAAAGAAUACAUAUUGAAUAAAAUGGCUACCAACAAGGAAACACCAGAAAUAACUUUGCUCAGGGUGUUUUUUUUUCUUUGAUAAUUAACGGAUGAGUUAUUUCAAGAUGGAGUUAAUUCUAUUUGAAGGCAAGCUGCUUGACUUAUGUUAA